GAUAAAUUUUACUAAAAAAAAAAAGCUGAGGCGACGCUAGCGAGGGAACCGGCGGUGUAGGGGAUCCAGCCAGGGAGAGGCGCCCGAGAGGAUCCGGCGCUCGAGCGGCUGCCUCCAGGGAACUUUGGUGGGCAACCUAUUCUUCUCCAUGGUGCUCCAGCAACUACAUAAGCAUACCGGGCCUCUCAGAUUGUUGCCCUGCAGGAUUCACGUUGGAGGGGAUGGAGGGCACUGUUCAAGAGAGGACAUGUCGAUGCGGAACAACAAUACACCAGGCUCCCCUGUAAUGUUUUUUGGCGGUGGUCAAUUGACUUGAGCAUAUUUGGAGACUGGUAGGCGCGCGGCCGUUCUGCCCGAGUCACCACCAGAGAGAGGAUUCGAGAGGAGAUGGGCAGAUUCUCUAGAGGAUUUUGUACAUUGAGAAACUUCCUCUUCAUCUAUCUGUUCUUUUCUCGAAAAACUCGAGCGGCUGGACUUAUGCACUUGUCUGUUAAUAGUCAAUGUCCACAACCCCUUGCGUAUUCAGGUCCCCUCUUCUUUCCCCCCAAUAUGUCUAUUUCCAAAUUUUCACGUCCUUGGUUCUCUCCAUGUGACCUGUGGCUGAAAUCUAAAAUUAAUAUGUGCACCUACCAAUGGGGCAUCUCAUGA